GGUCCCUUCGUCUAUCGGUUAGGACAUGUGGUUUUCAUCCAUAAAAGAGGGGUUCGAUUCCCCUAGGGACCGCCA
rnacentral:tRNA from 1 species